rnacentral:rRNA from 1 species
GUCGUACGCUUCUUUUUCCCCGGAGCUUGCUCCACCGGAAAAAGAAGAGUGGCGAACGGGUGAGUAACACGUGGGUAACCUGCCCAUCAGAAGGGGAUAACACUUGGAAACAGGUGCUAAUACCGUAUAACAAUCGAAACCGCAUGGUUUUGAUUUGAAAGGCGCUUUCGGGUGUCGCUGAUGGAUGGACCCGCGGUGCAUUAGCUAGUUGGUGAGGUAACGGCUCACCAAGGCCACGAUGCAUAGCCGACCUGAGAGGGUGAUCGGCCACAUUGGGACUGAGACACGGCCCAAACUCCUACGGGAGGCAGCAGUAGGGAAUCUUCGGCAAUGGACGAAAGUCUGACCGAGCAACGCCGCGUGAGUGAAGAAGGUUUUCGGAUCGUAAAACUCUGUUGUUAGAGAAGAACAAGGAUGAGAGUAACUGUUCAUCCCUUGACGGUAUCUAACCAGAAAGCCACGGCUAACUACGUGCCAGCAGCCGCGGUAAUACGUAGGUGGCAAGCGUUGUCCGGAUUUAUUGGGCGUAAAGCGAGCGCAGGCGGUUUCUUAAGUCUGAUGUGAAAGCCCCCGGCUCAACCGGGGAGGGUCAUUGGAAACUGGGAGACUUGAGUGCAGAAGAGGAGAGUGGAAUUCCAUGUGUAGCGGUGAAAUGCGUAGAUAUAUGGAGGAACACCAGUGGCGAAGGCGGCUCUCUGGUCUGUAACUGACGCUGAGGCUCGAAAGCGUGGGGAGCAAACAGGAUUAGAUACCCUGGUAGUCCACGCCGUAAACGAUGAGUGCUAAGUGUUGGAGGGUUUCCGCCCUUCAGUGCUGCAGCUAACGCAUUAAGCACUCCGCCUGGGGAGUACGACCGCAAGGUUGAAACUCAAAGGAAUUGACGGGGGCCCGCACAAGCGGUGGAGCAUGUGGUUUAAUUCGAAGCAACGCGAAGAACCUUACCAGGUCUUGACAUCCUUUGACCACUCUAGAGAUAGAGCUUCCCCUUCGGGGGCAAAGUGACAGGUGGUGCAUGGUUGUCGUCAGCUCGUGUCGUGAGAUGUUGGGUUAAGUCCCGCAACGAGCGCAACCCUUAUUGUUAGUUGCCAUCAUUUAGUUGGGCACUCUAGCAAGACUGCCGGUGACAAACCGGAGGAAGGUGGGGAUGACGUCAAAUCAUCAUGCCCCUUAUGACCUGGGCUACACACGUGCUACAAUGGGAAGUACAACGAGUCGCGAAGUCGCGAGGCUAAGCUAAUCUCUUAAAGCUUCUCUCAGUUCGGAUUGUAGGCUGCAACUCGCCUACAUGAAGCCGGAAUCGCUAGUAAUCGCGGAUCAGCACGCCGCGGUGAAUACGUUCCCGGGCCUUGUACACACCGCCCGUCACACCACGAGAGUUUUAACACCCGAAGUCGGUGAG